CGGUUACACGUAAAGAUUGGCUUCAACUGGCUUCGCCCUGUGCUGAAUUCCCACCAAGUCUCCCUCCUCCUGCCUCUGACUCACUCAGCAGCCAGCCCUACUUUUCGGAAGCUGGAGAAAAAUAAGUGUGAAAUGAAAACUGAAGAGAGAUCUGUGGAGUAGAAGAAGUGGGCAGAGAGGAGAAGAGGAGGAAUGGGAAAAGGGAGGACUGGUGGAAUGAACUUGACCAGACUGUGCUAUGUAUAUAUAUGGACAUACCACAGAGCCUCCAGUCGCAUGGUGACAGCACCAGUACUUCCUGAUCCUUGCACACUAAGGAUGAUGGCAGCUGUUGGUUUUCUCAGGGGCCUUUCCCAGAUUGAAGAAGUUCCAUUCUGUUGCUUGUUUGCUGAGGRAUGUUUUAUUUUGUUUGUUUGUUUGUUUGUUUUAAUGAGGAAUGGAUGUUGGGUUUUGUCAAAAGCAUUUUCUGCAUUC